rnacentral:rRNA from 1 species
UACGGAGGGGCUAGCGUUGUUCGGAAUUACUGGGCGUAAAGCGCACGUAGGCGGCUUUGUAAGUUAGAGGUGAAAGCCCAGGGCUUAACCCUGGAAUUGCCUUUAAGACUGCAUCGCUAGAAUCGUGGAGAGGUAAGUGGAAUUCCGAGUGUAGAGGUGAAAUUCGUAGAUAUUCGGAAGAACACCAGUGGCGAAGGCGACUUACUGGACACGUAUUGACGCUGAGGUGCGAAAAGCGUGGGGAGCAACAGG